CCUCAGUAACGGCGAGUGAAGCGGCAACAGCUCAAAUUUGAAAUCUGGCUCCUUUCGGGGUCCGAGUUGUAAUUUGUAGAGGAUGCUUCGGGUGCGGCACCGGUCUAAGUCCCUUGGAACAGGGCGUCAUAGAGGGUGAGGAUCCCGUAUGUGACCGGCGACCAAGUCCAUGUGAAGCUCCUUCGACGAGUCGAGUUGUUUGGGAAUGCAGCUCAAAAUGGGUGGUAAAUUUCAUCUAAAGCUAAAUACCGGCCAGAGACCGAUAGCGCACAAGUAGAGUGAUCGAAAGAUGAAAAGCACUUUGGAAAGAGAGUCAAAAAGUACGUGAAAUUGUUGAAAGGGAAGCGCUUGUAACCAGACCUGCCGUCGGGUGCUCCGCGGGCAUUCUUGCCCGUCCACUCACCCGCGAUCAGGCCAGCAUCGGUUUUGGCGGCCGGAUAAAGACUCGAGGAAUGUAGCUUCGCUUCGGGGAAGUGUUAUAGCCUCUUGUGCCAUACGGCCAGCCGGGACCGAGGACCGCGCUUCGGCUAGGAUGCUGGCGUAAUGGUUGCAAGCGACCCGUCUUGAAACACGGACCAAGGAGUCUAACAUCUAUGCGAGUGUUUGGGUGUCAAACCCAUGCGCGGAAUGAAAGUGAACGGAGGUGGGAACCCUUAAGGGCGCACCAUCGACCGAUCCGGAAGUUUACGGAUGGAUUUGAGUAUGAGCAUAGCUGUUGGGACCCGAAAGGUAAGAAUCAUCCCUGGAAUCAUGCCCGAUGAAGCUCUGCUAACAGAUCUCCCAGAUGGUGAACUAUGCCUGAAUAGGGUGAAGCCAGAGGAAACUCUGGUGGAGGCUCGCAGCGGUUCUGACGUGCAAAUCGAUCGUCAAAUUUGGGUAUAGGGGCGAAAGACUAAUCGAACCAUCUAGUAGCUGGUUCCUGCCGAAGUUUCGUAAGUUUCUCCCCGGCGACCCCUCCAUGAAUCCAUGCUAACAGUUUCCACAGCCUCAGGAUAGCAGUAACGUUUUCAGUUUUAUGAGGUAGAGCGAAUGAUUAGAGGCCUUGGGGAUGAAACAUCCUUAACCUAUUCUCAAACUUCCAAUAUGUAAGAAGUCCUUGUUACUUAGUUGAACGUGGACAUUUGAAUGCACCGUUACUAGUGGGCCAUUUUUGGUAAGCAGAACUGGCGAUGCGGGAUGAACCGAACGUGGGGUUAAGGUGCCGGAAUGUACGCUCAUCAGACACCACAAAAGGUGUUGAUUCAUCUAGACAGCCGGACGGUGGCCAUGGAAGUCGGAAUCCGCUAAGGAGUGUGUAAUUUGUUGCACACCACAGUUCACUCGUACUAGCAUGUACCCCCGGGUGCAAGUGACAGCUCUUUGAUGCCCGAAUGCUUUCUUGAACCGAGAUUGCUACCGGCAGUGGGGUCUUUUUGGCCCCAUCUACAGACUACGCGGAGCUGACUGCGGGGGCCCCUUGGGGGUUGCCGCAGGGAAGAUAUAGUCGUUGCGGGCCCCGGGAGGGGUCCUUGCGCAAGAACAACUCACCGGCCGAAUGAAUCAGCCCUGAAAAUGGAUGGCGCUCAAGCGUGCUACCCAUACCCCGCCGCCAGGGUAGAAACGAUGCCCUGGCGAGUAGGCAGGCGUGGGGGUCAGUGACGAAGCCUUGG
rnacentral:rRNA from 1 species